GCUCCGGUGGCCUAAUGGUUAGAGCGUCCGUCUCGGAUGCGGAAGGUCGUGGAUUCAAAACUCGGCAGAGUCA